AACGAACGCUGGCGGCAUGCCUAACACAUGCAAGUCGAACGAGACCUUCGGGUCUAGUGGCGCACGGGUGCGUAACGCGUGGGAACCUGCCCUUAGGUUCGGAAUAACUCCCCGAAAGGGGUGCUAAUACCGGAUAAUGUCUUCGGACCAAAGAUUUAUCGCCUUUGGAUGGGCCCGCGUUGGAUUAGCUAGUUGGUAGGGUAAAAGCCUACCAAGGCGACGAUCCAUAGCUGGUCUGAGAGGAUGAUCAGCUACACUGGGACUGAGACACGGCCCAGACUCCUACGGGAGGCAGCAGUGGGGAAUAUUGGACAAUGGGCGAAAGCCUGAUCCAGCAAUGCCGCGUGAGUGAUGAAGGCCUUAGGGUUGUAAAGCUCUUUUACCCGGGAUGAUAAUGACAGUACCGGGAGAAUAAGCUCCGGCUAACUCCGU
rnacentral:rRNA from 1 species